UUCCAUUUUCUCAUCUGAAUUACGAGCUCCAAUAAAUAAGGCUGGAAAUCUCACGCAGCGCCGACCUCCUCCCAGGUAUCCCACGCUCGGAGCCAGCGGAGGUGGCAGCAGGUCUGUCACUUUGCAGCGGGGCCGCUGUAAUUAUGCUGUGGGAAGCAGAGCUCACUUCGCCGAACCCUGAGCGGAUUAAGGAUCCUCCGUGCCUUUUCCCACCCCUCUCUGCCAGGGAAGGAGACGCCUGGAGGAGCUCUGAGGGGGUGAAGCAGCCUGCAGGAGAUCUGCUGCCUUCUCCCCGCUGGUGCUCCCCUCCAGCUCCUUCUGGAUGCAUGGCACGGGCUCUGCUUGCUGCUAGAUCACCCCUUCCCAUCAACACGUCUGCAACACCGGGACCUUCUCCUUCAGAGCUCACCCUGAGCUGCUGCAUGCAGGGUGCUCCCCAGCACACGGGGAGGUCUGUGCAAGGCAGCAGCUUCCAGCCCGAGCUGCCGUUGUGCUCUGUGUGCAGCAGGGAGGUGUAUCAUUAAUCUAUUAAUUAUUCACACUGCGCCAGACGGGCGCGCGGAAGAUCAGACGGGGAUUGCUGGCUCCCAGCGAGCUCCUCGACUCUCCUUAUGUCAAGAAUUGCUCUUCAGUCACAGACUUCAGGGCAAGAGGCAGCUCAGGCUUUCAGUAGGAACAACUGGAGAAAGCUAGAGGAGCUCAUGGUCUACCUGGUGCAAGGCAUGGAGAGAAGAAGCUACAGAAAGAGGUGUGACAUUCCCUUUGCAAGGCUUAGGGGAGCAAGUAUUGGGCUCGAUGGUCUUUCCAACCUAGGAACCGUGAUCCCAUGAGAUACAGAGUCCCCAACCCUGGAGGUGUUCCAGAACCAUGGGGAUGUGGCACUGAAGGAUGUGAUCAGUGGGCAUGGCGGGGUGGGUUCGGGUUGGAUGCGGUGAUCCUAGAGGUGUUUCCAGCCUUAAUGAUUCUGUGGUUCUAAGCACUGUGCGAGCAGUGUGCCACGUUGGGUGUCCUGUCCCUUCCACCCAACUAAGACCACUCUGUUUGCCAUUUUCUCAUCAUUGUGGGCACUGCGUUGACUCAUCUGCUUAUUUUUAACUGGGGCAGAUCUUACGGAAGGAGCAAAAUGACUCCAAGUCUGAGUGACAGUGGCGGGGGAUGGAGUCCCAACGUUAAUCUUCCCCAUGCAGGUCUGAAGAAGUGGAAGCCUCCACUGAAUGCCACGUCGUCCCAUGGCCCCCUUGUAAACAAGGUGGGCUUCUUCAAAACAUUUAUUUCAGGUAUCAAACUGAAUGUUCCAUCUCUUGAGGGAUUCGAUUCUCUCUUUCCAGGCAGGGCUCCCAGUGCCUCAGCACAAGGCUUUAAAGGCAUUGCUCCACUCUUUUGGAUUAGUGACCCAUUCUAACAGGUCCUCAUUGACCGCCAUCGCGGGUCUCUCAAAGAGUCCAUUGGGCGCAGCUUACAAAGGAGCUGAGCCGGAGAUGAAGAGUUUACAAAAAGUUUGUAGGAAACCGUGGAGUCCUUUUAAAAGAGAAUAAACUGCCACUGCUGUGUCUGGGCUGAGUUAAUCUGAUUAGGCCAAGCUCAUCAACAGCCCCGCUGAAAGGAGCGCGGGGGGAACGCGGGCUGGGGCGGCCCUGGAGAGAAACCGGGGACCUUUUUAGCAUGGAAGUCAAACAAAACCCAUUGUGGCAGAGCGUGCUUGCCUACAGAUGGCAAAAUGACACAUCUUUGCAAAGGCAAAGCAAAUAUCCUUGAUGGUUUUUCUCUGUUUUGUUUUGUUUUUUUCUGGUUUUCUUCUCAGGUAUGGGAGCAGACACUGAAUGAGAUUAGCAGAUGCCAAAGGGAACGGGGCUGUGAAGCACUGCAGAUAGGUGUCCUGGUUGCUUGGGUGGGAUAGGUUGAUGAAGUUCACCUUCUCUAUGUAAAAUAUGGAGGGAUAGGAAGCCCUCAUACCUAGCAUUUCUUCUCCUCUGUCCCUUGGGAAUUGCACAGAUAUCUACAUGGGGAGCAAUGCAGACCCCGUGUCCACCAAGGGACAUGGUGGUGGUGGGUUGGUGAUCCUAGUGGCCAUUCCCAUCCUUAACAAUCUGACAACUCUAUGAUUCCAUGCUCCAUCAUCACCCACUUUGGGCCAUCCCUCAGUGGAUGACCAGGCAAUGCACCACCAAGGCUUUGCAGCAGCCUACAUGCAAACCCAACCACUUCAUCUGCUCGUGGCCAUAGCACCUUCAUCCCUAAGAAGCAGUGAUGCACAGCAAGUCAAUGCACUUGGACAAUGUGCUUGCAUGAUGCCCUUGUCUGAUGCACUAGCAAGAAGCAAUUGCACCAUGCUCUUGUACGAUGCAUCAGCAUGAUGUACUUGUAUGUUGCGCCUCCACAAUGCACUUGUAUGACGCAUUACUAUGGUGCACUUGCACGGUGCAGCCAAGGAAACACUGCCUACCAGGUCCUCUCUCCUUCCCCUUUUCCCCAGGCUUCAGCACGUCAAUCCUGCAGUUUUGACCUUGGUAAGCACUGCAGCACUUGAGCAAACACCUGAACAAGCCUUUGGCCCCCACGGCAUCCCAAAGAGGCUGUGCAGGGCCAGACAGCACUGACUGUGGGCAAAAGAAAACCCCUAAUUAAACGUCCCGUCGGGAAGUGACAUCCCCACCACUGCUCUGUAUUAGAGGAGCCAGGGCCGUGCUUGGAUUUACCAUAGGCAGCUCCUUAGCCAAUAUAAUUAAGAACAGUAUCAGUGGAAGGCAUGUAAGGAGAUUUUCUCCCCGAGGCCACCUAAUACAGAUGUAAUUGACUCUAUUUUCUGCUUUCUGCACAUGGAUUGCCGCAACUCAGCCCCUAUUAUCCGCCAACAAAUGAACAGGAUCUGCUGAAAGGACCUCUCCAGCCAGGGCCAGGCACAGAGAAUGGAGCACUGGGCUGUGUUAAAUCCGGACACAACGCGUUCCUUCCCUCCCUUUUCAUCUCCGCCGCCUUUUCAAGAUGUUUUCCAUGCGGGAUAAGUCAGCAGAUCUGGGCUUGGGCAAAGCGUUGGCACUCGGGGAAGAAGGGAACAUCUGUCCCAAUCAGCUGUGCUAUUCUGUGCCGCCCGACAAAACCGGGCGAUGCCUUCGAGAGGGGCUUUGUGAGCACGGCUGCAAUUUCCUUUCGCUGCGAUUUCGAAGGGCGGGGAAGGAGGAAGGGAGGUGAGAAAAGAAAUUAAAGCCCAUUGGCUUUGUGGUGAAAGAGGCCCCGAAAAAAUCUCCAUUUCUAACGCUGCAAAAUCCCCACCGCGUUCCCACAGCCAUCCCCCAAAAGGAUGUCCUCAGCAGCAGAGGCGCAAAGAAGAAUAGUUUAUUAGUGUAGAAAGCAAUUUGCUUAGCAAUACCCUUGCUUACAGCUGAAGGAGCCCCAGUGCUUCCUUGGAGCAAGAGAUGCUCUGAGCAUCCCAAUGGUGCACAUGGGAUGCAAUGGUGCACUGGUGCAAGGGUUGCGUCCCAGUGGUGCACAUGGGAUGCAGCUGUAUAAUGGUGCACAUGGGAUGCAGUGGUGCAAUGGUGAAAGGGAUGCAUCCCAAUAGUGCACAAGGGAUGCAGUGGUGCAAUGGUGCAAGGGAUGUGUCCCAGUGGUGCACAUGGGAUGCAGUUGUAUAAUGGUGCACAUGGGAUGCAAUGGUGCAGUGGUGUAAGGGAUGCAUCCCAAUAGCACAGAAGGGAUGCAAUGGUGCAGUGGUGCAAGGGAUGCAUUCCAAUGGUGCACAUGGGAUGUGGUGAUGCAAUGGUGUAAAGGAUGCA
ensembl:lncRNA